CGGUGUCUCUAUGUCUCAGUUUUAUUUCAUCGCUGCUGUUGCAACAGAGACUGUGUUUCAUCUCUACGGGAAGAAAUAUCGUCAUUACAAAUCACUGACAACCGUUUCACCGACGAUAUUUUCAUCGACGCUGUUCCACGGGAACGCGAUGCAUCUUGGUCAAAGACGGUCUAAGAUCGACGAUCGAACACCCCACUGAUCUGCCGACAACAUCCAAAGAGAGAUUUCUUUCAUUCGGUUAGCGAUGGACAAGAUUUGUUUGAAUUCUGCCAGAAAUCCCCGAUCGUUCUUUCGAAAGGGACAUUCAAGGUAGACCCUUCGUGGAAAUUGGAUGCAGGAUUUCCUCGUGAAAUCAGAACACACUGCUCUGAUGGAAGAAUUUGAGAAAGAAGAGGCAAAUGUGUAGGGGUGACGGUUGAUGGUGUAGGAAUUGUGUAAUAAGUCUUUUUUUCCAAUUUUCCUUGCUAUUGAAAAAUUUGUUUACCGAAGGUAUUCCAAAAAAAUAGUGUUAAAUGCCCGGUCAUUAGCGUAAUGACUAAGUUCUUCUUAAAUUCUUGGAACAUUGAUAUUCAAAUGACGCCGGAUAACGAUAUUCCGGUCACAGAGGAACACGAGGUUCGCCUACUUCCGCGGCCCCGUCAUCCGACAGACAGCCAUAUUUUGGAUACGAUUACGAGCGCUCGUCCAUUUUCUCGAAGCGUGAGUUACACGCAAUAUCGUCGAGUGUGUUCCGCGAAAAAUAGCCGGGGUGGAAAAGGAAAAGAAAAAAGGAGAAACGAGAAGGAAAACGGUAAUAAAUAACUCUACGGAGACGCACGUGACUUCACGUUCGAUGUAUUGCAACAAAUCACGAGCUCCGCGGAAAUUAAACUGGUAUCGGUGAACCGAGACGAUCAGGACUCGUCGUUGAUAUUGAAAAAAAAAAACAGUCUCUGACUUGAGUUCAAGAAGAUACUACAAUAACGUUUACCUGAAUGAAAUACAGAACUUGGUAAUUAAUCAUUUAAUUGAGGAUGACGAGUCGACUGGUCAUAAUACAUUAAAAGGUUACAAAUAAAAACAAACGCUGUGCAAUUAA